rnacentral:lncRNA from 1 species
GCUCAUUAAUCAGGUUUUUUCUUUUUUUUUAUACAACCAAAAUAUAAUUUUCCGUUAUUUUAUUUUUUUUUUUUUCAACUUUUAACUUUUUAUUUUUUGUUUUAUAAUUAUGAUUAAUUAUGAUAGUAUACUAAUUAAUGAUAGCUAUGUGUCAGAAAUGACCAUAGAUGAUGUUAAAAAAUUAAAGCCUUAUUGGAAUAUGCAGAUAGCUAAUUAUAAAGAAGGUGCAAAAGAGCCCGUUUAUACUUUAUUACAAAUGGCAAUUAUUAUGAACAAAAAAAAAAUAGUUGGGUAUUUACUAGCUAGAAGAGGUUUAGAUAUAAAUGUUCUCAGUAGAAAUAAUCAAACAGCUUUAAUGAUUGCUUGUGAAAAAAAAGUUCCAUUAGAUUGGAUCGAGGCAAUUUUAAAAAAAGGUGGAGAUUUAGGUAUAAAUAUGAAAGACGAUUACAAUGAGACUGCAUUAGAUAAAUGUAUCUUCAACUCAAAAGCCUAUCGUUUACUUUUAAAAUAUGGAGCUAUCGAAACAAACGCUAUGAGACUGCAAGAAACAGAGAACCAGCAAUAUAAUGGUAUUGACAGCUUAUGGCUUAACAUGUGUGGAUGUGGAUCGAGAUGUAAAUAAUUUUUUUUUAAACUUGAACAAAAUAAAUAAAAUAAAAUAAAAUAUAUACA